rnacentral:rRNA from 1 species
UACGGAGGAUCCAAGCGUUAUCCGGAUUUAUUGGGUUUAAAGGGUGCGUAGGCGGAUUGAUAAGUUAGAAGUGAAAUGUCCGAGCUCAACUCGGGAACUGCCUCUAAUACUGUUGAUCUAGAGAGUAGAUGCGGUAGGCGGAAUGUAUGGUGUAGCGGUGAAAUGCUUAGAGAUCAUACAGAACACCGAUUGCGAAGGCAGCUUACCAAUCUAUAUCUGACGUUGAGGCACGAAAGCGUGGGGAGCAAACAGG